rnacentral:rRNA from 1 species
AUUUAGCCAUGCAAGCUUGCGAAGCCUAGUGCGGAGCGGCAGACAGCUCAGUAAUACAGUUAUAAUUUACUCGUGGUAUGUACAUGGAUAACCAUGGUAAGCUAUGGCUAAUACAUGGACAAGUUAUUCAACUGGUGAAGCAGGAAUAACAGACAGAAACGACCACGAUUAAGUUUCUGGCCUAUUAGCUUUGUAGGUACGGUAAUGGCGUACCUUGGCGAUGAUGGGUAACGGGGGAUCAGGGUCUGAUACCGGAGAGGGAGCCUGAGAAAUAGCUCCCACGUCUAAGGAUGGCAGCAGGCGCGAAACUUACCCAAUUCCUUAACGGGAGAGGUAGUGAAGAGACGUGAGAUUUUAUCUACAGACCGAAUUUUAAAACCAUUCGGAAUCGAUUGGAGGGCAAGUCUGGUGCCAGCAGCCGCGGUAAUUCCAGCUCCAAGAGCGUAUAUAUUUAUUGCUGCAGUUAAAAAGUCCGUAGUUGAUCACUUCGACACUGUGAGGAAAAUAUAGUUCUCAAAGCAAUUUUUUUUGAGUAAUUCAGCAUGGGACGUUGUGAAGAUAGGAACAGUUGAUGGCAACAGUAUUCAGCAGUUAGAGGUAUAAAUUGAUGACCUGCUGAGGACUACCUGAAGCGAAGGCGGUUGUCAAGGAUGUAUCCGUUAAUAAAGGACUUAAGCCGGAGGAUCGAAGAUGAUUAGAGACCGUCGUAGUUCCGGCUGUAAACUAUGCCUACUAGGUGAAGCCUUUUGGCUGUGCCUUCGAGAAAUCAAGAGUUUAUGGGCUCUGGGGAAAGUACGGACGCAAGUUUGAAACUUAAAGAAAUU